rnacentral:rRNA from 1 species
ACAUACAAUUAGGCCAGUAUUGCAUAGAUAUGAAAGAUUGACCCCUUGUGCUUAGGUGCGGUGGGUCUAAGGAUUGGUGUUUUGAUGGCCCAAACCCCGGCAGGAGGUGGAGCAUGUUGAUAGUCGCAAGGCUGUCGUUCAAAUCCCACAUGUUGUCGUAUUUGCCGGAC